CUCACCGUGGGUCUUCCAAACUCGCAACCACAUCCAGAGGACUUGUCUGUGUAUUCACAUUUGAAUCCAAGGCUCAGUGGACAGAAGACAGGAACAGGCUCUUUCUUUAGGCUCUGCCCAUACUGAAGUAACAUCUAUCUCUGUUUUCUGCACAUCCUGUGUGCUGGGUAGGGAAGGAUGCAGUGGAUUUGAGUAAGUGCUCAACACUGAAGACUGGAUUUCAGACAGCCAAUAG
rnacentral:lncRNA from 1 species